CUUGAACCAUAGUAUCGGUGCUAAGCUCUUCACCUACACAACUAUAUUUUUGAUAUUUGUUUGGGCUCAAAUUUAACAUUUACACAGGUUAUCAGAAUAUAUAUAACUUUCUUUGCACAUUAAAAUAAAUGUAAUUGAAGCCUCUCAAAUUUAUUUGUGUUAUUAAUAUCUCAAGGUUACCUACUGAAAGACUGCCAUCUAUUGUAACGAAUGUGCUUAAUUACCUGAUCUGGUAGCUCUAUGCAAUUUCUGGCAAAAUUUAAAAUUGAAAUGAUUUUCGGUAAUACUUUUGUGUGCCUGAAAUAAUAUAUAGUUGUUGUGAACAAUCUGCUAGUUAUUAUUCAAAUAUGGCAGCCUAUCAGAUGAAAAAAAAAACGUGAUAAAAAUGCCCUGGUGAGUGGCAGCCCAUAGCGCAUCAUUGAGAUCGCGAACGCAGCGUUGGAUCAAGCAAACAUAAAUUUAAUAACACUCUGUGAGUGAAAAAUUAAAAAUAUAUUUAUAAUCACACAACAGUUUUCUGGAAAUGUUAAAUAUGAACAGCAUACCAAUUGCAAUAAAAAUAAGUAUCGAUGAUAUUAUCGAAUAAUAUAUCGAUGCUACUGUUACCAUGUUAA